AGGAACUGGGAGAGAGCUGAGUAAGCAUGAAAAGAUCACUUUUAGAGUCUCCAUUACUGCCUCUCCUUCCAGUCCCCAGCACUGUAGAAGCACAGAUGAGAGGAGAGUUAUGGAUUGAGCGACUUAUCACUGUCUCUAUUCAUUUACCAUUUCCCCUGCUGAAAUCUAAGGGUCAUGACGGAAAGGACUUUGUCUCAUCUGGUGAAGUGGUUUGACUAUGUCCCCACCCAAAUCUCAUCUUGAAUUCCUGCGCGUUGUGGGAGGGACCCAGUGGGAGGUAACUGAGUAAUGGGGUGGGUCAUUCCCCUACUGUUCUCGUGAUAGUGAAUAAGUCACAUGAGAUCUAAUGGGUU